rnacentral:rRNA from 1 species
GACGAACGCUGGCGGCGUGCUUAACACAUGCAAGUCGAGCGGAAAGGCCACUUCGGUGGUACUCGAGCGGCGAACGGGUGAGUAACACGUGAGUAAUCUGCCCCUGGCUUUGGGAUAGCCACCGGAAACGGUGAUUAAUACCGGAUACGACCACUUCUCGCAUGGGAUGGGGGUGGAAAGUUUUUUCGGCCAGGGGUGUGCUCGCGGCCUAUCAGCUUGAUGGUGAGGUAAUGGCUCACCAUGGCUUCGGCGGGUAGCCGGCCUGAGAGGGUGACCGGUCACACUGGGACUGGGACACGGCCCAGACUCCUACGGGAGGCAGCAGUGGGGAAUAUUGGACAAUGGGCGGAAGCCUGAUCCAGCAACGCCGCGUGAGGGAUGACGGCCUUCGGGUUGUAAACCUCUUUCAGCAGGGACGAAGCGCAAGUGACGGUACCUGCAGAAGAAGCACCGGCCAACUACGUGCCAGCCGCCGCGGUAA